rnacentral:lncRNA from 10 species
AACUCAUAGACUCUUCCUGUUAUGUGAAAUAAAUGAAGACCAGCCAACUAAGAAAGGCAAAGGCUAUGUAUUCUGAGCUCAUCUGGAUCAGAGGAGUCAGCACUGUCAUUUGUGUUUGGCAGAGACUGAAAGGUUAUUUGCAACUUACCUGGCUAAGCUGAACUCCAGAAUUUGGACUAGAGGCUUCAGGAUGCUGGUGCAGUUCAAGUCUGGUCCACAUGUCUCCUCCUCCUUCGAGGGUCAUUGACUACUUUGUGUAUCUUCUUUUCAUGACAGUUCAUAUGAGUGCAAGAUGGCUCGAUAGACUUGCACACAAGUUUAAAGAUUUUUGUAUACACCUCAUUCCAUUGUUAAAGCAAGUUGCAUGGUCAAAUCUAACAUCUCUGGACAAGGACAUGCAUUCAUACCACUCUACUGCACUGCAAGCUCACGCAGAGGAGCAGAUCAUAAAACGUGAUUGAUGCAUGAUGAUGAUAAUGACCAACCUACCAUCAUGGACAUGACCGUAUGUUGAUACUAAGCCUCUUAGUAAAAUGAGCUAAAGAAACCAGAACUAUCUGCCUUCAGCUCAGCUGUCUGAUCAAAAACUUGAAAUCUGGAAACAGUGGUAUCUGGAAAACCUACUAAAAGUGGCUUUGGGAAAAUAUCAAUUAAUGUCAAUUUCAUUAAUUAUUCAGGGAAAUCCAAUCCAGUAAGCUAAAAUAUGAACAUAUGUGAACAUGUCAAUAAGAUUAUCUUUACUUUUUGAGUUCCUUUUCAGGAUUUAGAAUAAUUUUGUUAAAGGGGGACGUGAAAUAAUUAUAAUUUUAAUUUAUUUGAAAAGACAUAUAAUUGUAUUUUAGGCACUGUAAUUAAGUUCACUAUUUUAAAGUUAGGCUAUAAAAAUGAACUCAAUAUAUUUGCAUAUAAUAAAAUGUAAGAAGUAUAUUAGCUCUUGUUUCUUAAAAUACAAAUAUAUAUUGGCUUUUGAAACAUUUAGAAUGUAAUAGCUCAUGCUAUCCAUUUCCUUAUAUUCUGAAUAUUUUAAAUCAGAAAUCAAGUCUCAUUGAGUUUUCCAAUUCUCACACAAAUACAAGUUCUAAACUUUCCUGUAGAAUUUAGAAGUAAAUUAUUUGACUACUUUUUUCACGCUCAAACAUUUCUAAAAUUUUAACUAACCUCAUUAGUAUUUAUAUCUUACCCCUCUUAAAAAGGAAAUUUCAUGUAAUUAUUAUUUUUAUAUAGAUUUUUAAUGUUUUACUAUAAUACAGACUUAUUUUUAAGCUCUAGCUGAAAAAUACCUCUUAGCUCAGAUAUUUAUUUUUUUACUUGGUACCUCUUAGUUUAGAUGUUCAUUUUUUUACUUAGUAGCUUUUAUAGUAUAAACUAUUAGUCAAAGAAUAUGGUCAUGUUUAAAAUAAGGUAUAUUAUUUAUUGAAUACAAGCAAUAGUUCAAUGAUUUAAGUUCUAUAUUUAUCUUCUCAGAGUAACUUUCUGUCAGUAAGAGGCAGAUUUAUGCAAACACAUUUAAUAAACAAUAGUGUAUUUUAACAUCUUUAACCUACUUUUGAAGAAAUAUUCUAUGUAAUUCAAGAAAAAUAAUUUGAGUAACAAAUAUUAUUCUUAAAAUAUAUACAUAUAUUUGACAUUAAACAUAUAUUUAAGAGUUUAUUUGACAUUUUCAUGUAUUUUUACAGAAAUAUCAGAGAUGCUUACGUAGAAUUUGGAAAACUUUAAUUUUCACCAAAUACUCAUGUGCUUUGGGCUUACAGCAUAUGAAUUUUGGCAGAAGAGAAGUGAACCAGAAUAGAAGGAGGAGGGGAUAUUUAAUAAGAGAUUACAAAAAUGCUUUCUCUGGGUAAGAGAUGUGGUCUUCAUUUAAUGUUCAACUUAAAAAAAUAAAAAUUAUACCAUGGAAAAUGUGUGAUUUACAAGAUAUGUUAACAAGUAAUAAAACCUAAUAAGUGGAUUUGUAUUUUUUUAAGAGCAUAAAAAUAUCAGUUUGGCUAUUCAAAUGCAUUAGGCUGUUAUUUAGGUCCUCUUUUUCUUUAUGUGCCCAGUACUUUCAUCUUUAGACCUUACUAAUGCUAGAUGUCUUCUUGUCUUACUUGAUAGUUUUAUAUUAUAUUUUAUUCAGCCUAGUGAUGGGAAGAAUACGUUUACAAUAUGUUUACAUUGCACAUUAGUUUCUUGUCAUAUUUCCAGAGAUUGGAUAAUAACUGAUAACAAGAGACAGGGAGGUUUUCAGGAUUUUAAGUCCUUUUUUCUAGGACUUGCUUCUUUUUGAUAAAGCAGUCUCUACACUGGGUCUUUAUAUAGAGUACUUUUCUCUCUGUCCAUAAAUAGACUUGGUUAUAGGAGAAAUGGCGGAACAGUUUGAGAGUAUGGAGUUUCAAAGCAGAGCUCAUUAUUGAUGUUAAUAAUUUAUUAAUUUAUUAAACGUGGCAUGUGGAGUGCUGUUCUAAAUGCUUUCAUGCAUCGAUGCAUGAGGGUGCUGUGUGCAGUGAUGCCGGGUCACAUUGCCAGGAUCAUCCUCAAGGACUGAAUGACCCAUUUGCAGGAGUGUCAGGACAGUGGAUGCUGACUGAUCACAGCAAAGUCUGUCUCCAGGAAUAACCCCUGGCCGAGCAAGCAGCCUCACUCCCACUGGAGGCAUCCUUGAAGGGUCACGGGCCAGCACAGUUCCAGAAGUCCCCCUACAUUAGUAUUUAUAUUGUGUGAUUAAUUCAGCUACUUAUGUUGCAUUUAUAUUUAUGUUUUUUGAUUAUUGCUGUGUCUAUGUGUUUAUGUUUUUUGACUAUAAUAUUUAUGCUGUUUGUUUAAUUCUGUAUCAAUUAAAAAAAGGAAUGAAUUAAUGGCAUUCGCAGCAACCUGGAUGAGAUUGGAGGCUAUUAUAAAUGAAGUAACUCAUGAAAAGAAAACCAAACAUCAUAUAUUCUCACUCAUAAGUGGGAGCUAAGCUAUGAGAUGCAAAGGCAUAUGACUGACACAAUGGGCUUUGAGGACUCAAGGGAAAAGAGUAGGAAGGGAGUGAGGGAUAAAAUACUACAAAUUGUGUGCAGUGUAUACUGCUCAGGUGAUGGGUGCACCAAAAUCUCACAAACCACCACUAAAGAACUUGCUCAUGUAACCAAACACCAGCUGUUUCCCAAUAACCUAUGGAAAUAAAAAAAUUAAAAGAUUUAAUGAAAAAUAAGUCUAGAAGAAGUUCUUAACCCUUAGAGUCUUGUGGUCACAGACAUUUAGAUCCAUAUUUUUAUAUCAGCAAAAUAAUAUGGUGAUGAGCAAAGCACUUUGAAGCAUAGAAACAUUUACAUUAACAUAAAAUUAUAUGGAAGAAAUGGAAUAAUGUUU